rfam:Anopheles epiroticus strain epiroticus2 unplaced genomic scaffold supercont1.193, whole genome shotgun sequence.
UGCUCAGCGCAACUCCUAUUCCUACCUCCACGUGGUGCCGACUGGGGUACAAUCCCUUAGCUAGCAGGGGAUUUGUAUGCUAACAGGAAAGG